ensembl:ncRNA F53H4.7 ncRNA
UUCUAAUGUUCUCCGAAUCAAAAAACUAUUCUACAAUUAAUUGAAGUACAGUUUUGCCGAAAACUGACAUGUUUGAGAGUGAGAGAGGGAGAUGAGAGGGGCCUGUUGUUGCGCCUCGCCCGAAGAGGUAGAUUCACACAUGCAGACAGAUUGCAUACACGCAAUCAAACUAGCUUUAUCUCUAUUGAUAUACA